rnacentral:rRNA from 1 species
CGAAAGCCUGACGGAGCAAGACCGCGUGAGGGAGGAAGGCUCUUGGGUUGUAAACCUCUUUUCUCAGGGAAGAAGCUCUGACGGUACCUGAGGAAUCAGCCUCGGCUAACUCCGUGCCAGCAGCCGCGGUAAUACGGAGGAGGCAAGCGUUAUCCGGAAUUAUUGGGCGUAAAGCGUCCGCAGGUGGCGAUUCAAGUCUGCUGUCAAAGGCUGGGGCUUAACUCCGGAUAGGCAGUGGAAACUGAAUGGCUAGAGUGCGACAGGGGUAGAGGGAAUUCCCAGUGUAGCGGUGAAAUGCGUAGAUAUUGGGAAGAACACCAGUGGCGAAGGCGCUCUACUGGGUCGCAACUGACACUGAGGGACGAAAGCUAGGGGAGCG